CUGCUGGGGUGCAAUCAUGUGGACGUGUCCGUCGAUGCCGGCAGCCGUGAGGAUGAGAUGUUCGCCCGAAAUGGCGUCGGUCGCCGCACCCGUAAUGAGGUCGGGAUGUACGCCGUUCAUGACAUUCGGAUUGCCCGCCUUGCCUAUGCCGGCGAUUUUGCCGUCCUUGACUCCGACAUCCGCCUUGACGACGCCCAGUAUCGGGUCGAUUAUCGUUACGUUGGUGAUUACCAAAUCGAGCGAACCCUCCUUGGAGGUCAUCGUGUUUGCGAGACCCAUACCGUCGCG
rnacentral:sRNA from 1 species